UACAUUGCAUUAAUCUCUGAUAAUUCCUGAGAUAAACUGUUUCGAGAUAAACCAAGUGUAAUAAUAUAUUUUCAUAACAUCAGUGUCGACUGUGAAUAUGACUAAACGGCAUUGUUGUAGAUUAAUUAAUAAUUUAAAUAAUUAAAAUUAGGUAGAGUAAGGUCACUGCGGAAUUGGAGUUUAUACAACACAGAGAUGUCACCUCGACAGGACCACAUACGAGAGACGGAACGAGUGUGUCUGCCCACGCAGCCGCGGCCGCCGCCCCCGCCCGCUCCUGGUCGCCUACAGAGACCUCUGCACGACCACCCCGCCAACUAUAUCCUACGACCCGCCAACACGACACGCAAUACCGUCACAAUCACAACGCGCUAAAUAUAUAAUUUGAAAUUUGAAAAUGGAACUCUUCGUUCUAUAAGUGUGGUUUACAUAAAAAAAAAGUUUUUAUCGUG